rnacentral:rRNA from 1 species
UUAAGAAAUUAAGGGCGCACGGAGAAUGCCUUGGUAGUAAGAGCCGAUGAAGGACGUGAUAAGCUGCGAUAAGCUAAGACAAGCUGCAAUGGAGCGUAAUAGUCUUAGAUUUCCGAAUGGGACAACCUACUAGUUUGAAGAACUAGUGUGGAAACGGGAACCGGAUGAACUGAAACAUCUAAGUAAUCCGAGGAAGAGAAAGUAAAAACGAUUCCCUAAGUAGCGGCGAGCGAACGGGGAAGAGCCCAAACCGAAUAAGUGUGAUAGCUUGCAGGCGUUGCUUAUUGGGGGUAGUGGGAUACAAAGUAGCAGAUCUGCAAAGUCUGCGCUUGACUAAUCGAGGUACUAGAAUGAACUGGAAAGUUCAACCGUAGAAGGUGAUAGUCCUGUAUAGGGAACUCAGAUUAGAGAGUCAUUGUAAUCCCAAGUAGCACGGGACACGAGAAACCCUGUGUGAAUCAGCGAGGACCAUAUCUCGUAAGGCUAAAUACUCUUACUAACCGAUAGUGAAUAGUACCGUGAGGGAAAGGUGAAAAGAACCCCGGGAGGGGAGUGAAAUAGAACCUGAAACCGUGUGCUUACAAGCGGUCAGAGCAGAGCCUUCGGGCGUGUGAUGGCGUGCCUUUUGGAGAAUGAUCCUGCGAGUUACGAUCAAUGGCGAGGUUAAGUAUAACGGAGCCGAAGGGAAACCGAGUCUGAAUAGGGCGAAUUAGUCGUUGGUUGUAGACGCGAAACCUGGUGAUCUAUGCCUGUCCAAGAUGAAGCUGUGGUAAGACACAGUGGAGGUCUGAACCCACCGUCGUUGAAAAGCCGGGGGAUGAGGUAGGUAUAGGGGUGAAAAGCCAAUCGAACCAGGAGAUAGCUCGUUCUCUCCGAAAUGCAUUUAGGUGCAGCCUUGAUUGUUUAAAUAUGGGGGUAGAGCACUGAAUGGUCUAGCGGGCAUAUUGCUUAGCGAAAUCAAUCAAACUCCGAAUACCAUAUUUCAAGAGAUCAGGAGUGAGACUAUGGGUACUAAGAUCCAUGGUCAAAAGGGAAACAGCCCAGACCACCAACUAAGGUCCCAAAUUAUAUCUAAGUGGGAAAGGAGGUGGAGAUUCUGAAACAACCAGGAUGUUGGCUUAGAAGCAGCCAUACAUUUAAAGAGUGCGUAAUAGCUCACUGGUCGAGAGUCUCUGCGCCGACAAUGUAACGGGGCUAAGAUAUAAACCGAAGUUGUGGAGUAUACACUAUGUGUAGACUGGUAGGAGAGCGUUCCGUAGGCCGUUGAAGGAUAAGGGGUGACCCAAUCUGGAGGUAUCGGAAGUGAGAAUGCAGGAAUGAGUAGCGAGAAAGAGGGUGAGAAUCCCUCUCGCCGGAAAACCAAGGUUUCCAGAGUAAAGCUUGUCUUCUCUGGGUAAGCCGGGACCUAAGCCGAGGCUAGAUUGCGUAGGCGAAUGGAAAGCAGUUUAAUAUUACUGCGCCACUAUAAUUUGUUUGAGAGAUGGAGGGACGCAGAAGGGUAUGUGCGCAGACUGUUGGAUAUGUCUGUGUAAGCAUGUAGGAUGGAACCGCAGGAAAAUCCACGGUUUUAGAUCUGAGGUGUGAUGCGGAGUGUUUGUAAUGAACACGAAGGUACAAAUCCCACGCUGCCGAGAAAAGCUUCUAUUGAGAAUUAAAGUGCCCGUACCGUAAACCGACACAGGUGGUUAGGAUGAGAAAUCUAAGGCGUACAGGCUAACUCUCGCUAAGGAACUCUGCAAAAUGGCCCCGUAACUUCGGGAGAAGGGGUGCCAUUAAAGGUAAUAGAAACACGCGUUCUAGAGCUUUUGAUGGCCGCAGUGAAGAGAUUCGAGCAACUGUUUAGCAAAAACACAGGUCUAUGCUAAGCUGAAAGGCGAUGUAUAUGGGCUGACACCUGCCCAGUGCCGGAAGGUUAAGAGGAGGGUUUAGCGACUCAAAUUGAAGCCCCGGUGAACGGCGGCCGUAACUAUAACGGUCCUAAGGUAGCGAAGUACCUUGUCGGGUAAAUUCCGACCCGCAUGAAUGGCGUAACGAGUUGGGCGCUGUCUUGAUGAUAGACUCAGUGAAUUUGUAGUGCCGGUGAAAAUGCCGGCUACCCGCAGCAGGACGGAAAGACCCCGUGCACCUUUACUAUA